rnacentral:rRNA from 1 species
GACGAACGCUGGCGGCGUGCUUAACACAUGCAAGUCGAACGGACAGGCCCUGCUUUUGUGGGGUGCUCGAGUGGCGAACGGGUGAGUAACACGUGAGUAACCUGCCCUUGACUUUGGGAUAACUUCAGGAAACUGGGGCUAAUACCGGAUAGGAGCUCCUGCUGCAUGGUGGUGGUUGGAGAGUUUCGGCGGUUGGGGAUGGACUCGCGGCUUAUCCGCUUGUUUGUGGGGUAGUGGCUUACCAAGGCUUUGACGGGUAGCCGGCCUGAGAGGGUGAACGGGGACAUGGGGACUGAGGGACGGCGCAGAAUGCUACGGGAGGCAGUAGUGGGGAAGAUUGCACAAUGGGCGGAAGCGUGAGGCGGCAAUCCCGGGAGCGGGAUGAUGGGUUUCGGGUUGAAAACCGCUUUCGCCUGAGACGAAGAGUGAGUGACGGUAAUUGGUAAAGAAGCAACGGCUAACUACGUG